CAGAACCACAGAGAGAUGAUGAAGCUGCUGCCAGGCCCCAGCCGGGCCAAUCCCAACCAUCUGAGGGGACAUUCCCCACCCGCUGAAGCUCGGGCCCCUGGACCCUACCUGGCAGGGCGUGCAGGUUACCCUGGCAGACUGUUUCCACGGGUUGGCGUAAUGAAAACGAGCAUCUCAGUUGUACAGCACAGACAACUCGGCCCCCAGUGCUAACAGUGGCCUGGACUCAUCACGGGCCCUCCACUCUGAGAGCCUCGGGAGGCUUCCAUCCUUCUUUCUGCUGCUGAAGUCAGGUUGGUAUUAUUCUCCUCCAUGAGGUCUUUCUCGUCAUCAAACACCCUUAGCUUUUUGCAGCUCUUCAUCCCCUUUCCCAGCCUGGAUAGAUGCACAUCUUUCCUUUUCCAGUGCCCAGGCAGAUGAAUGUCUGGUUACUUGAUAAUGGGCCUGGAUUUGGGGCUGUUUAUAAGCUCAUAUGUUCACCAUUCACUUCUUGCCCAUAUUCCAGGCCCAGACCUUGGCCCAAUGGUACCCCCACCCCUGGAAUCCCUUGGAAAUUACACACCGUUGGUUCCCCCUGUUGCAAAAACACAACACAGCUUUAAAACCACAGUGCCCCCAGAGGCCACACGAAGGUGCUGUCUGCAUCCUCAGGCCAGGAGUCUGUUCCCUCCUCUCUAGUAAUAUUCACGCUGUGAGCACCAUGCCUAGCGCUUCACGGAUGCGGCUUUACUAGAUCCUUACAACAACUAUGAGGAUUAUACUAAAAUUACACCAUCAGUGGCCGGGGUCCUGAGGCUCUGGUGGCUGAGGCUGGUUGAAAUCUGAUGCUCAAAUCUGACGUUCUUGGCUCAUGCCCAGUUCCUCCCCCUGCUCCACACUGCUUUCUGAGCUCCUGGUGACUGAGCCACGCUUUUCAGCAGCUGCCCACUUGAGGCUUUUAGUGCAUAAGCCCCUCACUCGCUCAGCACUUCAUGUCACCUGCCUGUGCUGAAUCCUGGGUGGGGACAGAGACAAGUGCAGGGAGGCACCACUCGGCCCUGCUGCUGAGGAGAACCCGCCUGGAGGGAAGACACGCAGAACAAGCAGUUUCAUUUGAGUUUAACCUGGAGUUGGGGUGACAGCCCCCUCGCACUCCCACGUAGCCUGAUGGGUUUGCCUUCCCCUCUCCCACGGCACACCGAGUGUACACGUACAGGAGCCGGCUGGCUUCAGGCUGGUUGCAGCGAGAGCUGCAAGAGAGGACGCAGCCACCUGAACCAUUUGGGCCCCCAGGAAGAGCCUGCAGGUCCUGUCCCUGUGGGGUGGGUGUCUGGAGCUGCCCCAGCUGCCAGGAGCACCCACGGUUGGUACCAAGGUGCUCGGGCUCGGGGUCCAGGCCAGACACCUGGGGAGCCCUGGAUGUCGCCCCAGUGUCACAGAACAGACCCCCUCCCACGUCUCCCUCCCCUCUUUCCUCUUCUCUGUAGUCUGAGGUCAUCAGCCCAGCCCAGCCAACACCAUUUUCCCCUGCCCCACCCGGCACCGUUCCCCUGUGCUCAGUCUCAGGCCACAGGCCCCAGACCCACAGUCUGCACCGCAAUCCGGAGGAGCUUCCGAAACAAUCUGAUUACACUUUCUCCCUUUGGUGGUCUCAUUGUCUCGGGGGAUGAAGUCCAGUCCCCCGAUCUCUGUCCAGGGUCCUCUGUGCUCCUGCCCUCACUGGCCUCUUUCCCCACCCAGCCUCCACCUGGGCUCCUCCACCACCUCUGAUGCCCACUGCUGUCUGACCUCCAGGCCCCUGCCCCUUCUGGGCUCUCUGCCUGAGACUCCUUUCCUGCCUUGUCUCCUAUCAGCUCCUCCUUAACUCUUCAGGGCCCAGCUGAUAUGCCGCCUUCUGGGGGGGCGGGUGGCAUGGGGGGGCAGGAGGGGUCUUCUUUGACCCACCCAGGGCUGCCUGUGACCACCAAACCCUCUCCAUGCUGUGCUGUCAUCCUGGCAGGAACUGGAGUGGUUUAACAUCUGGAUCCCACAAACGGAACUCCAUCAGGACUGUCUGGCUGAGCUCAGGGCGGGCCUGAAGAAGGGAUGGGCCCUGCUGUGUCCAGGCUGAGAGGCUGGGAAGGUGGAGCGGGCGGGGCUGUCUGCCCCAGAAGGAGCACCGUCACACUGUGUUAGGAGUCAGGCGUGGCUGAGCCCUGGCUGUGACGACAGCUCUGGAGAAAGGAUUUGGGAGGAGAGGAGAGGGUCUGUUCUAUUCACGCCUUGCUGCCGUCCAAGCAGAACUGGCCUGUGUUCCGUGGGGUGGCCAUAGCUCCGUUAUGGGUCAGAGGUAAAUGCAGCCUCGCUUCAUAAAAGGCUUCCUGAGAUAAAUUCUUAAACCUUCGGGUCUGUGUGGCUCAUCCCCAGCGCUGGCUAAUCAGGGUUGGGAUCUGCUGGGACAGGGCUACUGGGUGGUGGUGAGUGUCCCUCUUCAGCUGCCCUGGGUCCUCCUCACUUCUGCUGUGGCCCCAGAAACCCUUUUCGGCAAGUUCCCUCCCCAGCCCUGCCUGCAGUGGUAGGUGUGACUUUUCUGCCUUCCCUGGGCUGGUCACAGGAAUGUUUUUUGUCCCCAUUCAGGCAUCGAUGGAUUUGAGGGGGCUGGCAGCCCAGAGGGCCGAUGGGUAGCGGUGGCCACCACAGCGGUUCUCCAAGAUGUGGUAGAUCCGAGCACCUCGGUCCUUCCUGCCUGCUAUCCUGGCCCUUCACAACUCUCCUAGGUCCCCUGUCCAGAGCCCCUCCACCUGCCUCUCCUUCCACGGUGCCCUGGACAUAAGGAGCCUCAGGUGCCGCCCACCUGCCCUGCUGCUGCGUGCAGUCCCUGCAUCCACGCACAGAAGCUGCUGACGCAGUUGACACAACGGGGAUUGCCACCAGUGGAGCUGGUUUCUAAAGCUCUGUGGUUAAUUAUUUUGUCUCAGUGAAAUGAAAGGAGAGUAAACAAACAACAGCACAUUAAUGAGUCUGAUCUACACUUUCUCCACGAAAGAGGAGAGCAAAGUUAAACAUUGGAGGCUGGCAGCUUCUCAGAGAACCCGAGAGUCCUCGGAGGGCUGGCAGGGCAGGAUGUGGUGCACAGGCGCCCAGCCUGGCCCCCAGUCCCGGCCUUUUCUCUCGCCUGGCCCGGCCCGGGUUCCGUCUCCCAGGGAGGAGCACCUGCCCCUCCUCCCCGCCGCAGUUCUCUGCUUCCGUGUCCUGGGGUUGGCACCUUUGCCAAGCAAAGUCCAGUCAACCCUGCAGGCAGGAUUGCUCUUUCAGGUUCCUAUUUUAAAGCCAACCAUCACCCUCGGGCUUAUCCCUAUUGUGGAUCCUGGUGUGUGGCUUCUAGGGUUGCUUGGGAUGACCUCUGCCCCAAUACCAUCGUUUCCAGAGCUGGCCUGGAGUCCCAGACACCCUCAGGUCCUGGGCUCAGGAGUGGGGGUCUACACAGUGCCCAAGAGAGGGCUCCCAGGACUCAAAUGCUCUGUUCUAGAAGCAGAGACCACAGACUCACUCCCUCACCCCCCCGGCUGCAUUGCUCAAUGCUCAGCAUGGGCUCAAAGGUCAGGCUGACCUGAAUGAAAUCCUGGCACUGGCGUCAGGCUCACUGAGCCUCUGUCUCUUCACGGAAGUAACAAUACCUGCCUCCCAGGACUAUCACGAGGAUUAAAGGGGGCCAGGCUGCUAACAUGGCUGGCCCUGUUUCCUUCCCUACCUCCCCCGCUCCUUGCAGGGCCUCCCUGACCACCCCUCCCCUGAGGCUGGCCCUUGUGUGCCCUGUUUGUUC